UCCAGAGUAGGCUCGACCAAUUCUUUUUUUUUCCAAGUAUCUCUCUGUUUCAUUUCGUUUUUCGAGCAUCCUUAGUUUGCCGCAUGCUGCUUGGUGAAUCCUCCUGUAUACACGAUCGGUGUGUAGAUGUAGGUGUUGCUUCAAGUAGAUGUUAUGUGAUUAUUUUUGAAGUUGUGAGUCAGGCCUCUUACUCGCGUUUGUGCAUUGAAAUACCAUAUGCUCGAUCUCAACCACCUUCUUCAUUCUCUUAAGGAUGCUUAACCCACGGAAGGAUAUUUCGAAGAAGAAGAAAGGAGGCACCAGCAGCUCUGCUCCUGCGAUGCCAGAGCGUCCUCCUCCCUGGCUUUUGUCCUUUUUAUGUCACUAAAGCUGCAGAGGAUAAAUGGGACUCGAUGUCUGAAGCUGAGAAAAUUCCAUAUGAAAUAAAAGCCUUGGAGACGAGCGCAGCCUUUGACAGAGGUGCGGAAUUCUGUAAAAUGAUGAUGAAUGUCCCGAAAGCUAGAACUGGUGGUCCAAUGAUGUAAUGAACUUCUCAGUUCUUUCUUUGCUUUGCACGUUUUGAUAAAAUUAGGUAACUUCUAUGGUGACUCGUAUUUUCAGCCUGGUUCUUGAUUUGGGCAAACCUUAGUGUUCCUGUUAGUUUGGUAUUAUCGCGUCUGAGCUGGGCAUAUGAUAUGCCUGCGUUCUUAGUAUCCUCCUAUAGAUUCUUGGCCGGAAAACCUGCAUUAUUGUUUGUUGUCCGAAGGGCCAGGUUUCAGAACACAUCCGCUUAUGUCAUAUUUGUCGAUGUGGCUUGAACUGUGACAGCUACUAGACUUGCGAGCAUUGAUGUUUUGCUGAAUGAAAGUGGGAUUACCUGGCAGAGGUUGUAGGACAGCAACAAACAUAUGGAAACAACGAAAGAAACCAAUUAUCGGUAGUUGGACUAUUAUGAAUG